rnacentral:lncRNA from 1 species
UUUCUGAGAGUUGUGGUGAUUAAGGAGAUCAAAGGUUCCCAAUAUGGGGUGCAGCUGGAGAGCGCUGUGAGGGACAGAUUGGCAGCGGAUGACAAGUACGAGGAGGAAGAGGAAGAAGCCUUGGAGAAAGUUGUCGAAUUCUUCCAGUCUAAGUAUUUUAAGAAGAAUUCGAUCAUCACAUACCAUUUUCCUGCAAAUUCAUGCACUGCUGAGGUAUACCUUGAAGCUUAUGAGUAAUGUUCUCUCCUUAAAAAAUUAAUCAUUCUUGUACUAAUAGUGUAUAUGUAUGUGUACGUGCGCGCGCGUGUGCAGAUUGCAUUUACUACCGAGGGAAAGGAGGAAGCAAAAAUCAAAGUGGAGAAUGCCAAUGUGGUUGAGAUGAUCAAGAAAUGGUACCUGGGAGGAACAAGGGGAGUGUCUGCUACUACCAUAACCUCCUUAGCUAAUGCCCUCUCUGCCCGGUUAUGCAAAUGAGCCUAUUUUGUCUAAUUAUAAGUUCAUAACCUUCCCUGGAAGGUUGCUCAGGAAUGAUCCUGUCUGUUGUG